GUGAGAAGAAGGUACGGAAGGCGGGAGUGUUGAUUGGUGGCUGAGAUUGAACAGCUUGCUGAUUGGUGACUGGGAGCGGCGGUGGAGUGGACAUGGCGGUGGCGCGUGAGGUUAGGUACGGCUGAUUUGGGCGAGAGGUUUGGAUCUUAAGAUUGGAUCAGAUCCGAGCUCCGUGUUAGAUAUUUUUGGGCCUAAUACAUAAGGUUGCACCGGCCAAUACCUUCAAGUCACGAGCCCUCAGCUACGUUCUGUUUUUAAGAAUCCGGUUUUGGUUUCGCUGGGCUAUAUCUCUUUAUGUGGAUGCAUUGUGAAAUGGGGAUUCAUUCAAAUUU